UUCCCACUGAGACCUAUAUCUGGGGAAA
rnacentral:piRNA from 1 species